rnacentral:misc_RNA from 1 species
AGAACAUAGUACUUCAGGAAAGCAAGUGAAAGAUGAGUAAGGAGAAAUUAUCUUACCUAUGUGGUUGGCAGUAGAAACAUUUAACUGAGCCUACAGUUAAAAAGGAAGUGACGAAUAAUAAGAACUCUCCUGUGUUUUUGAAAUAUUGAGUUGAGCUGCUAGCCUGGUACACUGGAUUAAAACCAUUGUUCUUGGGCUUGUGAAAUAUCAAUAAGCAACACUCAAGAAACAAGAUUUAUUCUGACUUGGACAAAAAGUUCAGGGGUUUUCCCAAGAUAAAGUUGAAAAUGACAUUGAUUACAAAGAAAAUGAUAUAAUUGCAUACUUAUGCCACACAGAUAAAAUCAUUAGUUAUUUGAAAAACUUAUGCAACUUAAGCUCUUCCUAGAAAGGCAUCAGAAAAAUAUAUACCUU